GGAGUUCUUCCUCCAUCAUCAGAGCAGUAUGAUGAAGAAAAGGGCAUUAAAGUUGUCACAGAAUUCAAAUAUAACGAGGAAAACAAAAUGGUCAAGGUCAUUAAAACAUACAGAGUAGAAAAGAGAAAGGUGCCCAAAAGCAUAGCAAAGAGAAAGACAUGGAGGAAAUUCGGAGCCGCAGAGAGAGAUCCACCUGGUCCAAAUCCAGCUAAUACUAUUGUUCAAGUGGAGGAAAUCAACAUGCAGUUUAUUCACAACAAGGAGGAAGUACAAGAACAAGAAGAUGACCCAUUACUGAAGUUGAAGAGCCAAAAACUGGUAUCCUGUCGUAUCUGUAAAGGCGAUCACUGGACUACAAAAUGUCCCUACAAGGACACUCUUGGACCUCUUCAGGAGAAGCUCCAAGAUGGAGAGAAGCCGCCUGUUGGAGAUGCACCAGGACCACCAACAAGUCAAGGACCUACUGCCCCUGCCCCCACCAAGACAUCUGGCAAAUAUGUGCCCCCGAGUCUCCGAGAUGGGGUCAACAAAGGCCGCGGGGAAACCAUGUCCUCUAAAAGGGAUGAGUCGGCCACCAUCCGUGUUACCAACCUGUCUGAAGAUACUAGAGAGUCCGACCUGCAGGAAUUGUUCCGACCAUUUGGACCCAUUCAGAGAAUCUACUUGGCAAAAGAUAAAAAUACUGGCCAGUCUAAGGGAUUUGCCUUUAUCAACUUCCACAGAAGGGAAGAUGCUGCAAGAGCUAUUGCUGGUGUGUCUGGUUUUGGAUAUGAUCAUCUCAUUCUUAAUGUGGAAUGGGCCAAACCCUCUGGCACCAGCUAACUUUUCAACACCAUCAUAUUUAUUGCGACACUGAAGUCAGACUGGCUUAUUUCUUGGUGGAUAUCUCAAUAAUAUACAUUCAAUAUUGUUUCAUUAUCUAUGAUAAGUAAAUGUGUAAGACUG
rnacentral:misc_RNA from 1 species